GAUGAACGCAGGCGGCGUGCCUAAUACAUGCAAGUCGAGCGAACAGACGAGGAGCUUGCUCCUCUGACGUUAGCGGCGGACGGGUGAGUAACACGUGGAUAACCUACCUAUAAGACUGGGAUAACUUCGGGAAACCGGAGCUAAUACCGGAUAACAUGUUGAACCGCAUGGUUCAACAGUGAAAGACGGUUUUGCUGUCACUUAUAGAUGGAUCCGCGCCGCAUUAGCUAGUUGGUAAGGUAACGGCUUACCAAGGCAACGAUGCGUAGCCGACCUGAGAGGGUGAUCGGCCACACUGGAACUGAGACACGGUCCAGACUCCUACGGGAGGCAGCAGUAGGGAAUCUUCCGCAAUGGGCGAAAGCCUGACGGAGCAACGCCGCGUGAGUGAAGAAGGUCUUCGGAUCGUAAAUCUCUGUUAUUAGGGAAGAACAAAUGUGUAAGUAACUAUGCACGUCUUGACGGUACCUAAUCAGAAAGCCACGGCUAACUACGUG
rnacentral:rRNA from 1 species